rnacentral:rRNA from 1 species
UUAAGAUUUGAAAAAAAAUUAGAAGAUUAAUAGGUAUGUUCUUUAAAUUUAAAAAAAUUGGCGGUAUUUAAAUCUAAUUAGGGGAAUUUGUUUAUUAAAUGAUAAUCCGCAAGAGACCUUACUUUAAUUAAAAAUUUAUUUAUUGCCGUUAUCAGAUUAUUUUUUAAGAAAUUAAAUUUUCUAAUUUAUUUAUUUAAUAGUAUUUUUAAAUUAUAAUUAUAAUUAUUUCAGGUCAUUAUGUAGUUUAUAUUAAAGUUUAAAUGAAUUACAAUAAAAUUUAUUUAUACGGAUAAAAUAUUGAAAAUUAUAUAUUUUUGAAGGUGGACUUAAUAGUAAAAAUAAAUAAUUUAUUUUUUUGAAUUAAGAAUUAAAUAUGU